rnacentral:lncRNA from 1 species
GAGGGGGGAGGAAGGGGUGGCGCACCAUCUGGUGGGCCUUAGGCCCACCUGGCCUAGGGUUUGCCCCCCCUUUUCUCUCCCUUGUGCAAUGGGCUGAGUGGGGAGGCGCAUCAGCCCACCUAGGGGCUGGUUCCCACCCCCACUUGGCCCACCUUAUCUNNNNNNNNNNAGAGGGGGGAGGAAGGGGUGGCGCACCAUUUGGUGGGCCUUAGGCCCACCUCGCCUAGGGUUUGCCCCCCUUUUCUCUCCCUUGCGCAAUGGGCUGAGUGGGGAGGCGCACCAGCCCACCUAGGGGCUGGUUCCCACCCCCACUUGGCCCACCUUAUCUCCCGGGGUCGUUGCCCCCCUUCGGUGGUCCCCCGGGGCCACCUCCGGUGGUCCCGGUGGUCCCGGUACGUUACCGGUGAUGCCCGAAACACUUCCGGUAUCCGAAACCAUCCGUCCUAUAUAUCAAUCUUUACCUCCGGACCAUUCCAGAGCUCCUCGUGACGUCCGGGAUCUCAUCCGAGACUCCGAACAACUUUCAAUAACCUCGUAUAACAAUUCCCUAUAACCCUAGCGUCAUCGAACCUUAAGUGUGUAGACCCUACGGGUUCGGGAGACAGGCAGACAUGACCGAGACACCUCUCUGGCCAAUAACCAUCAGCGGGGUCUGGAUACCCAUGGUGGCUCCCACUUUCUCCACGAUGAUCUCAUCGGAUGAACCACGAUGUCAAGGAUUCAAUCAAUCCCGUAUACGAUUCCCUUUGUNNNNNNNNNNNNNNNNNNNNNNNNNNNNNNNNNNNNNNNNNNNNNNNNNNNNNNNNNNNNNNNNNNNNNNNNNNNNNNNNNNNNNNNNNNNNNNNNNNNNGAGAUUGAUGUUGCUACUACUUUGCCAUGCUUAAUGCUUGUCACUAGGGCCCGAGUGCCAUGAUUUCAGAUCUAAACCUAUUAUGUUGUCGCCAAUAUAUGUGUGUUUUAGAUCCUAUCUUGCAAGUUGUAGUCACCUACUAUGUGUUAUGACCCGGCAACCCCGGAGUGACAAUAGCCGGAACCACUCCCGGAGAUGACCAUAGUAUGAGGAGUUCAUGUAUUUACAAAGUGUUAAUGCAUUGGUUCGGUUCUUUAUUAAAAGGAAAACCUUAAUAUCCCGUAGUUCCCAUUAGGACCCCGCUGCCACGGGAGGGAUGGACAAUAGAUGUCAUGCAAGUUCUUUUCCCUAAGCACGUAUAACUACAUACGGAAUACAUGCCUACAUUAGAUUGACGAACGGGAGCUAGUUACUUAUCUCUCUGUGUUAUAGUUGUUACAUGAUGAAUCACAUCCGCCAUACUCAUCCAUCACCGAUCCACUGCCUACGAGUCUUUUACUACUGGUCCUUGCUACAUUACUCUGUUGCCACUGCUGUUACUUGCUGCUGCUGUCACUACUGCUGUUCCUUGUUGCUACUGUCACUACUGCUGUUACUUGCUACUUUGUUGUUACCUGCUGCAAGACUUUUCCGACACCGUUGUCGGGGAAGAUUAGUUCCCCGUCCACGUGCUACUUACUAGCGCCAUUGAUACAACAGUUAGGAAUAGUCUGCCGUCAACAGAUCUUUUUCUAACACCGUUGCUAUCAUACCACUUUGCUACUGAUACUUUGCUUGCAUACACUAAUCUUUUAGGUGUGGUUGAAUCUGACAAACUCAGCUGCUAAUACUUGAGAAUAUUAUUUCGCUUCCCCUUGAGUCGAAUCAAUAAAUUUGGGUUGAAUACUCUACCCUCGAAAACUGUUGCGAUCCCCUACACUUGUGGGUUAUCAGUAACAUACCGAAGGACAAAGGGAAUGACAUACGUGAUUAUAUGAAUCCUUGACACUAAGGUUCAACCGAUAAGAUCUUCGGAGAAUAUGUAGGAUCCAAUAUGGGCAUCCAGGUCCCGCUAUUGGAUAUNNNNNNNNNNGCCUCGGGUCAUGUCUACAUAGUUCUCGAACCCGCAGGGCCUACACACUUAAGGUUCGAUGAUGUUUUAGUAUAGUUGAGUUCUAUGUGUGGUUACCGAAUGUUGUUCGGAAUCCCGGAUGAGAUCACAGACAUCACGAGGGUUUCCGGAAUGGUCCGGAAACGAAUAUUGAUAUAUAUGAUGGUUUCAUUUGGUCACCGGAAAGUUUCGGGCAAUUCCGGUAGUGUACCGGGAGUGACGAAUGGGUUCUGGGAGUUCACCAGGAGGGGCCCACCGACCCGGGACAUAGCCCAAGGCCCUAGGGUGGCGCCACAAGUCCUUAGUGGGCUGGUGGAGUCAGCCCAAGAGGGCUAUGGCGUCACAUAAAGAAAAUACCAAAAGAAAAGAAAAAGAAAAAGGAAAGAGGGAGGUGGGAAGGAAGGAGUGGACUCCUUCCCCACCAAGCCGAAUUGGGAUUGGAGUCCAACUCCUCCCCCUUGGCCGGUGCACCCUUGAGGCCUUGUGCCUCAAGGCUAGCCCCUCCCCCUUCCUACUAUAUAUAUUGGUGGUUUAAGGCUGAUUUGAGACACAACUUUUGCCACGUGCAACUCAACCCUAGACCACAUAGUUCUACCUCUAGAUCGGAUUUCUGCGGAGCUCAAGCUGAGCCCUGCACGAGUAGACCAUCACCACCACCGGAGCGUCGUCACGCUGCUGGAGAACUCAUAUACUUCUCUGUCUUGCUUGCUGGAUCAAGAAGACCGAGAUCAUCGUCGAGUUCUACGUGUGCUGAACGCGGAGGUGCCGUCCAUUUGACGCUAGAUCGGAACGGAUCGUGGGACGAAUCGCGGGACGGUUCGGGGGACGUGAAGACGUUCCACUACAUCAACCGCGUUUCUUAAUGCUUCCCGCUGUGCGAUCUACAAGGGUACGUAGAUCCAAAUCUCCACUCGUAGAUGGACAUCACCAUGAUAGGUCUUCGUGUGCGUAGGAUUUUUGUUUAGUUUCCCAUGCAAUGUUCCCUAACACCUUUAUAGUCACCCUGUUACGUUGUGACAUUUGAUAUACACAAGGUAUUCCUCCGGUGUCCGGGAGUUGCAUGAUCUCAUGGUCAUAGGAACAUAUACAUUGACAUGUAGAAGACAGUAGCAAUAAACUGACACGAUCAUAUGCUAUGUUCAUAGUUUGUGUCUUGUCCAUCACAUCAUUCUCCUAGUGAUGUGAUCCCGUUAUCAAAUGACAUCUCAUGUCUAUGGCUAGGAAACGUUGACCAUAUUUGAUCAACGAGCUAGUCAACUAGAGUCUUACUAGGGAGAGUAUGUUGUCUAUGUAUUCGCACAUGUAUUUGAGUUUCCAAUCAAUAAAAUUAUAGCAUGGAUAAUAAACGAUUAUCAUGAACAAGGAAAUAUAAUAAUAACUAAUUUAUUAUUACCUCUAGGGCAUAUUUCCAACACUAUGCUCCCACGUCACCAAUAUGACAUACGCCUCACCAGGACCGCAAUCACUAUAACGAGCUCUAUUUUUUCAUCGUGACAUCAUUUUGCUCCCACGUGGCCAACGGCUCCCCUCUCACAAGUCGAACAUUAUCAACAAUCUCAAGUGCUACCUAACGGGGGAGUAGAAACACAUAGAUCUUGAUACAUAUCAAAUGAUUUUGCUCAAUCUCCUGAUAUUUAAGGAAGAACCAGACAAUUAUGCGUUGGCAAAAUCAUAACUUAGGGUUCUUCUACUCGAUUGGACCGGCAUUAUAGCUUAGGAUUGCGUGUGAGCUUAAUAUAACAUGGAGACAUCUAUCCCAAACAAGAUCUACUAAAAAAGCACUAUAGCUCAUGUUUGAGCAGAUAGGGUUUGCACGAUAUUAAAUUGGCGCAAAAUUCUCAAGAAAACACAAAUUAAGUGGAAGUUCGGGCGCAUCAUGGUCUAGAAAAAAUGUCGAAAUUUAUUUUUAUGAAACGAGGGAAUAUUCUCGUCAUCUAGAGCACCUACCGCUUCUUAUUCAUCUUCUUUCUUGUCUCAUCAUGCACGCAUUUUUUCAAACUAUAGUGAAAAGUCCAUUUUUCGUCCCUCAACUUUUCGGUUGGACACUUUUGGUCCCUCAACUACAAAAUCGGAUAGGUUGCACCGCAAACUCUCCAAACCAACCAUAUUUCAUCCCUCCACAGACCCGACACUGUUUCGCUGCUGACUCAGUCCGAUUUUGACCGAUUGUUGCCUACGUGGCACAUCUGCUAAAGGACCCAAGCCGGUUAGACCAGUUGCGAAUGUGGCACAUUUGCUAAUUUCAGACCAACAAAAAGUAAGUUAUAUGUCGUCUUUCAUUUACAUAGGAAUAUACAUGGUGCAAUGUCUAACACAAUUUAUGUGGAGAGUAUCAUCACAGCUGCACAAAAUUGGGCCCCUCAUGCAAAACAUAGAAAUUGUGCAAGACAUGUGUAUGCCAAUUGGAGAAAAGAAUUCACAGUGAAAGAGUAGCAGGAACUUUUCUGGAAUUGUGCAAAGGCUUCUUCUAUGAGCCCGUUCAAAUUGGCAAGGGCCAAAUUAGCAAGUGAGACUGUCGAAGGUGCAAGGGUCGUAACCAGGUUAGAUCCCAAGCACUAGUCAAGGGCAUGGUUCAGGUUAGGUUCUAAUUGUGACUCUUUUGAUAACAACAUUUGUGAAAGUUUCAACAAAUGGAUCAUAAAUGCUAGAUUUUUGCCUAUCAUUUCAAUGCUUGAGGCAAUUAGACGAAAGGUUAUGGUUAGGAUUCAAGAAAUGAUUGAAAAAUGUGAGAAAUGGACAUUAGAAAUUGUGUGUCCUACUAUAAAUAAGAAGAUGAACAAGUACAUAGAUUGGUGUGGGACUUGUCAUCCUAUCGGCAAUGGAAAUCAUGUGUUUGAGGUCACCCAAAGGAAACAUUACAUAUUUGGUGUUGAUCUAAACAGACAUAACUGCACUUGUGGUUAUUGUCAAGUAUCUAGUAUGCCUUGUGCACAUGCAAUUGUAGAAAUACACACCAUUACAAGUGACUUGAAAAUUUCAUUGCUAACUUUUUUUUAUGUUGAGGCAUUCAAAAGAACAUAUGCACAUUGUUUGCAACCUGUUAAUGGCAUGGAUUGCUGGCCAAUGUCACCAAAGCUUAGACCUGUCGCUCCUGGUUAUGUCAAGAUGCUUGGUAGGCCAAGGACUGAUAUGAGGAAGGAGGAAAGCGAGAGAAAAGUGUCCACGACUAGGUUGCCAAAGACUAGGAAACUUAUCAGAUGUAGUAAAUGCAAAGGAGUUGGUCACAACAGAACAACAUGCCAUAGACAACCAUGUGGGCAACAAAGUGUACAACAAAGUGAGCAACAGAGUGGACAAAGUGGACAACAAAGUGAACAACACAGUGCUACUGCACACAGGGUAAGUAUCUCACAAGUUUAUGUUGCAUGUGUUGAUCACUGGGUAUUGCAUGUGCUCAUUACUAUGUAUUACAUUUGCAGGAACAUGUUGUGCCUUCUCAACAGAGCACACAUGUUGCAGAAACAUCUAGAGGGACAAAUAGACCAGUACCCAUGUCCAAGCCUCCGAAGCCUGUUGUCCAAGGAAAAGGGCAUAUUAUUCAAAAGAACAAGUCCUCCUCAAAGGCUGGAAUGAAGGAUGUCACUGCCAAUGUAUGUUCUAGAUCAUGUGUCACUGUCAAUGUCAAAUCAGGAAGUGCUAAUUCACAAUUCAAGGCACCUGGAAGGUUGGAAAAAAGGGCAAGGAAAUUACCCCCAAGGCUACUGGACUGAGUUCUUGUGGAACUAUGUAUGUUUGUGUGGAGCUAUUUAUGUUUGUGUGGAACUAUGCAUGCUCUUAUUUGUGUGCCAUGAACCUAUCCGAAUUUCUAUAUGAUGUCAAAAAUUGUGUGAGAAAUCAAUUUGUUAUGUUACUCACCUAUAUCUAUGAAGACGAUGUAUCUAUGAGAACCUGUGAUGUUUGAUUGGAACUUUGAACUUUGUGUGAUGUUACUCUCUGAUUUGUCAAAAAAACAAAAAAAAAACUAUGGCAAAAUUUACUCUCAGACUUGUCAAAAAAAUAAAAAAAGUGUCCAAAUCGAAGAGUUGAGGGACCAACAAUGGACUUUAGCAGAUGCUCCACCGUUGGCAACGACUGGUCAAAAUCGGGCUGAGUCAGCAGCGUAACAUCGUCGGAUCUACGGAGGAACGAAAUAUGGCUGGUUUGGAGAGUUUACACGGCAACGUGUCCAGUUUUGUAGUUGAGGGACAAAAAUUUUCCAACCCGGAGAGUUGAGGGAAAAAAAUGGACUUCUCUCUAAACUUUAUUGGGUGCAGAUGUUCUAGCGCAUAUAGUUUUGAGAAAUGUGCAAUUGCUUUCAUGUUGGAUAAUGAAUCAAGUCUAUCGAUGGAAGAUGAUGUGGAGACCAUGAUGAUCCUUAAGAACAAAUUUGGACCACGUAUCAUCACACAACAGAGAUGAAUACUCCCCCUCCAUUCUUAAAUAUAUGUCUUUCUAAAGAUUCCACUACAAACUAUAUACGGAUAAACAUAGCCAUACUUUAGAGCGUAGAUUCAUUCAUUUUGUUUUGUAUGUAGUCUAUAAUAAAAUCUCUAGAAAGAUUUAUAUUUAGGAAUGGAGGGAGUAUCAUGCAUGCGGCAACUUGUCUGGUGCUAAUAGGAUCAAGUGAGCGCAAUCUCAAGUAAAAGGAGCCAAAGUAGAGACUAGAUGUGUGGUUUCAUAGUUCGUCCUCAGUAUAAUCUAGUAGUUAGCGGUACGUUUUUGUGAAGAAUCGAAGGAGAAUUAUUCUCUUGUUACAUGAAAAUAUCAAAGUAUAAUUUACUAUAUUUGAUCGAAAGGGUUUUCUCCUUCCUAUUUUAUAAACAAGAGAGGCAAACGGAACACGUGAUGACUGUUCAUAGGGCUUGGGUUGAACCAAAGUAGCCGUGCCAAAGUGGUUUUAGAAGGACACCUAACAUCGCAAGCAAAAGAAAGUUCAACAAACAGAAGGUAUCUAUUACAAAAUCAUCAGUUAGAAUGACCCAUCAGAUAGAAGCUCUGUUGAUCAAUCUUAUGCUCACCUUAUUCUUCAUCUUCACGCAAUUCUCAUGAGUUCUCAUCUCCUUCGAUCCAGUAGUACAUCGUCUCGUUAGUAAGUUUGAUUGAGUAUUGGAGAAAAAAAUAGAUAUGUUAAUAUAAAUUAUAAUUUAGAAUAUUGACACACCAACAACCUUUAAUUUCACAAAGCCCUCUACUUCUUCAUUUGUAAAACACACAUCCAAUCGGGAGAAUUGAUUUUAACCCCCCAGCUCACGUGCCUUGGAUCUUAUGCCCCCCCUCUUUGCUUGCCUUCCUGUGAACCUCCCUAGUUUUGUCUAACUCUUGCUGAUGCCCCCCUUUGACAUGGUUAACAGUAUGUUAGCAUAUAACUAUCAAAUAGAAACAAGAAUAGAACAAAAUACCCUUCAAUUUGAAAGCCACAACUAUGUACAAAAUAUUUUGCAACAAUCAAUAGCUUUUAACACAAACAGAUUCGGAAUAAUAGUCUCACAUCCAUUCAUUGAUAGCAAAGAUAAUAAGUUCAACCAUGUUCUACAUGAGUUCAUGACAGCAAAAUAAGUGAGUCUCUACCUCACAUACAUAGCAAAUAGAAGUGAGUCUCUACCUCACAUACAAAGCAAAUAAAAGUGAGUUUGCACCUCACAUACAGAACAAUAAAAGUGAGUCUCCACUCACACACGAGUUCAUCACAACCAUGCACAAGUUCACAGGUCGCUUAAUUUCUUCCUCUUAGGAGUCAUUUUCUUCUUCUUUCCUUUUGCUCGAGAUUUUAGUGGUGGAGUAGCAGCUUGGCUCCUUGUGACAGGUCCAGGACUAUCUUGAGCUGCAGCUUGGCUUUUUGUGACAGCUCUAGUACUACUACAAGUGACAUCAUUCUUGCUCUUGGUUGGUGUAGAUGGAACGACAUUGCUAAAUGAAACAUCAAACCAUGGACAUGGAUUCUUUUUCUCCCUACUUUUUGUACAAAAAAGCAAUUAGAGCUAUUUUUAUGUAAAAGAACCAUGAUAUUAUAAAUAGAAAACAAUAACAAGUACUUGUUUGUACCUUUUCUUUGUUCCACUUUAGGACAUCCAGCUUCUCUAUGUCCUACCUCCCCGCAUUUUUUGCAUUUGUUCAAAGAUCCCUUGCUUGAUCCACGUUCCCACCAACUCUUUAUCCUCUGUUUUCUUGUUCUUCCAGCACCUUUCUUCUUGUAUGUUGGAAUUGGUGGACGCAACACAAAUUAUGUAUCCACAUUUUUCAUCUCUGUGCCAGAAACAUAUAAAGCACAAAAAGGCAAUUACCAUCACACAUUUUCAUCUCUCUGCCAACUAGUAGUUAAAGCCCAUUUGCAAGGGUCGCCUUUUAUGGAUUCACCUUUGCAAAAAGUGUGAAACCUCACUGUCUCAUUUUUCUUUGUGCCAUAUCCAAACUCUCCAUUGAUAGCUCACUAUUUUAAAGCCUUUCUAAAUUCAACCAUGUUAGGAUAAGAUGUCCCUAUAUCCAUGGCUCGGUUCCGUUCAUCCCAGGCAGUAAGUGGCUCCGUUGGAGCCUUAUCAUCAACAACAAUUGCUGCAUCUUUGAUAUCAUCUAAGCCAGCCUCCCCAUCAGGAGUGGGAAUGACAAUAGGACCAAGCUCAGUUGCUCUCUUGUUUGAUUCUGUUUUUAAACCAAACAAAUCAAGCAUCGCUUUCUCGUCCGGUGUUUUUUCAUCCACAUCAUUUUCUGGUUCAAUCAUAAGCCUUGAUCAAUCAAUAAUAGCAUUACCAUUUUCUACUUCAUUGCAGGAGAUCUCCCCCGUGGUUAGGUUUAUCACACUUGAUUGAUUAGAAUCAUGCACAUGCAUUGCAUCGAUCCUAUUUAAUAUAGACAAAAAAUAAUCAAAAAUUUCACACACCAAAACUCAUGCAUACUUCAAUCAAAAUAAAGGAAUGUGAUGUUACCUUUUUAGAUCCAUCACAUCCCUUCGUCAAUCCAGCCCCUCACACUCAAAUCCCCAUGUAAAUCUCACAUAACACCUAGGGUUCAAUGAUUUAGAAAACAUACCAGAGGAAGAGCUCAAAAUCCGUGAAAAACAGAAGGGGGAGAGGUUUGUUGGAAAUAUGCCCUAGAGGCAAUAAUAAAAUGGUUAUUAUCAUAUUUCCUUGUUCAUGAUAAUCGUCUAUUGUUCAUGCUAUAAUUGUAUUAACAGGAAACAGUAAUACAUGUGUGGAUAAAUAGAUCACAAUGUGUCACUAGCAAGCCUCUAGUUGGCUAGCUCGUUAGUCAAUAGAUGAUCAUGGUUUCCUCAUCAUGGACAUUGGAUGUCAUUGAUAACGGGAUCACAUCAUUGGGAGAAUGAUGUGAUGGACAAGACCCAAUCCUAAGCCCAGCACUAGAUCGUAUUGUUCGUAUGCUAAAGCUUUUCUAAUGUCAAGUAUCUUUUCCUUCGACAGUGAGAUUGUGCAACUCCCGGAUACCGUAGGAGUGCUUUGGGUGUAUCAAACGUCACAAUGUAACUGGGUGACUAUAAAGGUGCACUACGGGUACCUCCGAAAGUGUCNNNNNNNNNNCGUGAGAUUGUGCAACUCCCGGAUACCGUAGGAGUGCUUUGGGUGUAUCCAACGUCACAACGUAACUGGGUGACUAUAAAGGUGCACUACGGGUACCUCCGAAAGUGUCUGUUGGGUUGGUACGAAUCGAGAUCGGGAUUUGUCACUCCGUGUGACGGAGAGGUAUCUCUGGGCCCACUCGGUAGAACAUCAUCAUGAGCUCAAUGUGACUAAGGAGUUAGUCACACGAUGACGUGCUACGGAACGAGUAAAGAGACUUACCGGUAACGAGAUUGAACAAGGUNNNNNNNNNNNNNNNNNNNNNNNNNNNNNNNNNNNNNNNNNNNNNNNNNNNNNNNNNNNNNNNNNNNNNNNNNNNNNNNNNNNNNNNNNNNNNNNNNNNNUUCCUCUAGAUCGCGUUUCUGCGGAGCUCGGGCGGAGCCCUGCUGAGAUUAGAUCACCACCAACCUCCGGAGCACCGUCACGCUGCCGGAGAACUCAUCUACCUCUCCGUCUCUCUUGCUGGAUCAAGAAGGCCGAGAUCAUCGUCGAGCUGUACGUGUGCUGAACGCGGAGGUGCCGUCCGUUCGACACUAGAUCGGAGCGGAUCGUGGGACGGAUCGCGGGACGGUUCGUGAGAUGGUUCGCGGGGCGGAUCGAGGGACGUGAGGACGUUCCACUACAUCAACCGCGAUCUCUAAUCGCUUCUGCUGUACGAUCUACAAGGGUACGUAGAUCACUCAUCCCCUCUCGUAGAUGGACAUCACCAUGAUAGGUCUUCGUGCGCGUNNNNNNNNNNAAUCAGCCCUAAUACCUCAGUAUAUAUAGGAGGGAGGGAGGGGAGGAGGCAGCCUCAAACCCUCAAGGUUUGGCCGAAAUUUGAGGUGGAGGAGUCCUACUCCAACCCUACUUGGAGUAGGAUUCCACCUUCCCACUUGGAAACUCUUUCCACCNNNNNNNNNNCAAAGUUGUCUCAAAUCAGCCCUAAUACCUCAGUAUAUAUAGGAGGGAGGGAGUGGAGGAGGCAGCCUCAAAACCUCAAGGUUUGGCCGAAAUUUGAGGUGGAGGAGUCCUACUCCAAUCCUACUUGGAGUAGGAUUCCACCUUCCCACUUGGAAACUCUUUCCACCUUGUGUUUUUCCCUUCUCAAACCUUAUGGGCCUUAGUGGGAACUUAUUCCAGCCCACUAGGGGCUGGUUUAUCUCUUCCCAUAGCCCAUGAGACCCCUUGGGGCGUGACAUCCCUCUCGAUGGUCCCCGUCACCCCUUCCGGCACUCCCGGUACACUACCGAUGAGCCCGAAACUUUUCCGGUAAUGCCCGAAAACUUUCCGGUAACCAAAUGAGGUCAUCCUAUAUAUCAAUCUUCGUAUCUGGACCAUUCCGGAAACCCUCGUGACGUCCGUGAUCCCAUCCGGGACUCNNNNNNNNNNGGAGGGGGCCUUGCCUUGGGGUCCAAGGACCCUCAAGGGGGUCGUCCGAGCCAAAGGGAAGGACUCUCCCCCCCCCAAACCGAGUUGGACUAGGUUUGGUGGGAGGGAGUCCUCCUCCCUUCCCACCUCCUCCCUUUUUUUUUUCUUUUCCUCUUGAUUUUUCUUCUCUUGGCGCAUAGACCANNNNNNNNNNUUUCUCUUUGAUUUUUCUUCCAAUGCGCAUAGGGCUCUUUUGGGCUGUCUCACCAGCCCACUAAGGGCUGGUGCGCCACCCUCAAUGCCUAUGGGCUUCCCCAGGGUGGGUUGCCCCCCCCGGUGAACUCCCGGAACCCAUUCGUCAUUCCCGGUAACUCCGAAAACCUUCCGGUAAUCAAAUGAGGUGAUCCUAUAUAUCAAUCUUCGUUUCUGGACCAUUGCGGAAACCCUCGUGACGUCUGUGAUCUCAUCCGGGACUCCGAACAACAUUCGGUAACCAACCAUAUAANNNNNNNNNNGUGAACCCCCGGAACCCAUUCGUCAUUCCCGGUACAUUCCCGGUAACUCUGAAAACCUUCCGGUAAUCAAAUGAGGUCAUCCUAUAUAUCAAUCUUCGUUUCCGGACCAUUCCGGAAACCCUCGUGACGUCCGUGAUCUCAUCCGGGACUCCGAACAACAUUCAGUAACCAACCAUAUAACUCAAAUACGCAUAAAACAUCCUCGAACCUUAAGUGUGCAGACCCUGCGGGUUCGAGAACUAUGUAGACAUGACCAGAGGGACUCCUCGGUCAAUAUCCAAUAGCGGGACCUGGAUGCCCAUAUUGGAUCCUACAUAUUCUACGAAGAUCUUAUCGUUUGAACCUCAGUGUCAAGGAUUCAUAUAAUCCCGUAUGUCAUUCCCUUUGUCCUUCGGUAUGUUACUUGCCCGAGAUUCGAUCGUCAGUAUAUGUAUACCUAUUUCAAUCUCGUUUACCGGCAAGUCUCUUUACUCAUUCUGUAAUACAAGAUCCCGCAACUUACGCUAAGUCACAUUGCUUGCAAGGCUUGUGUGUGAUGUUGUAUUACCGAGUGNNNNNNNNNNNNNNNNNNNNNNNNNNNNNNNNNNNNNNNNNNNNNNNNNNNNNNNNNNNNNNNNNNNNNNNNNNNNNNNNNNNNNNNNNNNNNNNNNNNNNNNNNNNNNNNNNNNNNNNNNNNNNNNNNNNNNNNNNNNNNNNNNNNNNNNNNNNNNNNNNNNNNNNNNNNNNNNNNNNNNNNNNNNNNNNNNNNNNNNNNNNNNNNNNNNNNNNNNNNNNNNNNNNNNNNNNNNNNUAUUCCUCCGGUGUUAGUGAGUUAUAUGAUCUCAUGGUCAUAGGAACAAAUACUUGACACGCAGAAAGCAGUAGCAACAAAAUGACACGAUCAACAUGCUACGUCAUUAGUUUGGGUCUAGUCCAUCACGUGAUUCUCCUAAUGACGUCGUCAAGUUAUCAAGCAACAACACCUUGUUCAUAAUCAGAAGACACUGACUAUCUUUGAUCAACUGGCUAGCCAACUAGAGGCUUGCUAGGGACAGUGUUUUGUCUAUGUAUCCACACAUGUAAAUGAGUCUUCAUUCAAUACAAUUAUAGCAUGGAUAAUAAACGAUUAUCUUGAUACAGGAAUUAUAAUAAUAACUAUACAUUUAUUAUUGCCUCUAGGGCAUAAUUCCAACAUAUAGGGUGUAUAGUUUUUUGCACGGAAAUUAAAAAAUACAUGUGGAGGAAAAAUUUCACAAGUUUUGGGUAAGAUUACACCUGACUAAUUGACAUCAAAAAAUAAAGGAGCUUGCUUGAUAUAAGGAAAUAUAAUCAGAUCCCUAAAACCAAUAUUCAAACGAUUGAUGCAAUGCAAUGCACGUUAUAUUUUUGAUUUUUUUUCUCAAAAAUCUAUACACCUUAUAUUAAGGAACGGAGGGAGUAUUGUUUAAAAAAAAAUAGCCGAGUCUGAUCCAUCGCCAAGUUAAAUGCCACCCGUUGGAUGGAGAUCAAAAGUAGAUCAAGAAAGUCGAUGUAUAGCUCGACAAAGUGGCAGUGGCAGUACUCGAGAAGCAAGCGGCAGUUUUGUUGCCUUGACAAAGUUAAAUGCCACCCGUUGGAUGGAGAUCAAACGUAAUGGACGGCCUACAAGAAAGUGGAUGCAUAGCUUCACAAAAAGUGGGUGUAGCGGCAGUACUCCUCGAGAAGCAAGCGGGCAGUUGGAGCCUUGGAGGGGAUGGAACGCUUCCGGUUCAGGUCACCUCCCCUCUCGCUCAAGCUGGCCUUCGCCGCCGUCUCCUUCGCCGCCGUCUCCUGCUCCUCCUCCUCCCCCCUCCCUUCCUCGGACGCCUCCUCCUCUCCGCGGCCGUCUCCCCGGGCCGUAGCCGCCGACCUCCUCGCCGUCCUCGCCGGCCCGCGCGCCGCGGCGCGGGUGCCGGNNNNN